rnacentral:lncRNA from 1 species
AACAAAACGAUGCCGACAAAGAUCAAGGAGUGCGGUGGUAAAGGCGACGUCAAAAGACGAGAUCGAGAAUUGUGCGAGAAAGAGAGAGAGAGAGAGAGAGAGAGAGAGAGAUCACGCACAUGCGAAUAAGGUAGAAUGAGAAAAAUGGAGAGAACGGCCAGUUGGGAGGAAGAAGAGAGAUUAAAAAUUAUUUUAUUUAAUCAGCAUUGCAUAAUUGUACAUAAAACCUCUAAACGUUUUAAGAUGAACAAAAUAAUUCUCCUUUAUUAAAUAAAUAAAAAUAAAAAAUAUGGGAUAUUAUAGUUGAGGGAGUGUAGACAUGCAGUAGCAGAAUAAAACUGGAUUUUUUUUAUUAA